rnacentral:hammerhead_ribozyme from 1 species
AUUUUUCUGAUGAGUCCCAAAUAGGACGAAACACGUAUUUUGAAU